AACAAAACAUAGAAACAUAUAUUUAUAUUACAUAAUAUUAACAUAUCUUUUAGAGAACAUUUUUAUAUCUGUGUUUAUGUAUUUUUCAUGUCUAUCAAAAUGUUGUCAUGACUUCUAAGAGCAACUAUUUGGAAGUCAAACUAUGCCUGGCACAAGCCACAGACUGGUGUCUAGAGUACAUUGGCUUUGCUGUGGUUGCUUGACAUUGGCGUUGCUUGACAUUGCUAUGGUUGUUUUUACCACCAUCACACAACAUACUGUGCCCAGUACAGUGCCAGGGUCCAGGUUGACUGGCUGAUGACAAAUUGAUUUCAUACCCUUUAAAGAUACAAUUCACCAUAGGUGUUUACAGCAAUUGAAGGGUUUUCUUUUUUUUUUUUUUACAGAUGGCUAUUGCAUAUUAGCUAAAAUUAGCUAUGUGUCAGCCAGUUCACUCUGUUUUGUCCAUGGGUAUUUACUUUGAUACCAACAAAAAGUAGUUGGAGAGCGAAAUUGUAUGGAAAAUAUUUCUGGUCUAUCAUGCCCCUUUCUGACAAAUAUAGAAAGGUUAUCACCCGUGAAAACAGAGGUUAAUUGAACAGGACAUUUUCUGUGUGACGUAAAAUGAUAAUCAAAGACCACAGACAGCAUUAACAAACAUGAACUGUCCUGCCCUGCUGACGGGACACUUCAGGUGCUAACUGAUCAUUUGCCUCUUAAGAUACCUCAACAUUAGAACUUCAAGGAUCUUAAAAUAGUACCCUCAAAAGCUCUUAGAGUAGCAACGUUUAGUAUUUGUGAAAGUCUUUUCUCAGUCUUUCUUUUCAUGUCAGUCAUUUUCUUUUUUACAUUUGUACUAUCAGCAGAAAGUAUGUCAGCAUCACCUGUCAUUCCUCAUUGAGUUGCACUGUAAUUCCUCUGGAGCCGUGAUUAUAUUAAUCACAGGUGCCAAAUAGGUGAGAAGUCUUCAUGAUUCUAAGGAGAAGGAGCACCAUUUUAACUUCUCUCUACCCAGCACCCACUGCAGGACUAGACUGCUGGAGCAGGCGAGUGAGCGAGCGAUAGGACGCCUGUGUUUUUGAGUCACCCCUUGUUUAACACCUGUCACUCCAGUCACGAGGACAAGUGCCCCUGUCCUUCUGCACUAAUGGCGUUCAGAGAGGUGGGGGGGGGGUGUGAGUGGAUGUCAGCAAGCGUGUGUGUUUGGCAAGUACGCCUGCAGACACGCACACACACACACGCAUACACACACCCACCCUCACACACUCGCGCUCUCUCUCCCCCUCUUUCACUUGACCUAUGCUGAUACCAGGCAGCACUCGGCUCAGCCUCUCGGAGAGUAGACUCUCCCAAGGGCUACUCCAGAGACCAAAUUCUGAACGUUAGCAGAGGGCACUGGAAACCUGCAGUCAUGGAGAGCUUCUUUAAGGGCAGGGACAUUUGGAUAGUGAGCAGUGUGUGUCUUGUGGCCUCCUUCCUCUGGCACCAGCUCUGGGAUUUACUCUCGUUUCGGAGGAAAGGCAGAGGCGGCUCAUCCGCUGAUGCUAAGUUGAAAGAUCAUAAAGGCAAAGAUGGAAAAGAGAAAUCUCAUUUGAG